rnacentral:rRNA from 1 species
UACGGAGGGGGCUAGCGUUGUUCGGAAUUACUGGGCGUAAAGCGCGCGUAGGCGGACCUGCAAGUCGGGGGUGAAAGCCCGAGGCUCAACCUCGGAACUGCCCUUCGAUACUGGGAGUCUCGAGUCCGAGAGAGGUGAGUGGAACUGCGAGUGUAGAGGUGAAAUUCGUAGAUAUUCGCAAGAACACCAGUGGCGAAGGCGGCUCACUGGCUCGGUACUGACGCUGAGGUGCGAAAGCGUGGGGAGCAAACAGGG